UGGUGGAGCGAUUUGUCUGGUCAAUUCCGAUAACGAACGAGACUCUAGCCUACUAAAUAGUUCGGGGACCCCCACAAAGGGGCCCCGCUUCAACUUCUUAGAGGGACAGGUGGCGUUUAGCUACACGAGAUUGAGCAAUAACA
rnacentral:rRNA from 1 species